GUAAUUACAGGCAAUGGGGAUACUACCACAAUUGUGGUCUUUCCUGGGUGAGACUUUUCCAUUGCACACUUUGAUGGGUUUAUUCCUGUGAUUUCCCCAACUGUGGGAAAUUCAACUACCUAAUUUUUGAUUGUGGGGGAGUAUGUUUGAGCAGUUAUCUGAA